rnacentral:rRNA from 1 species
UACGUAGGGUGCAAGCGUUGUCCGGAAUUAUUGGGCGUAAAGAGCUCGUAGGCGGUUUGUCGCGUCUGCUGUGAAAACUCAGGGCUUAACUCUGAGCUUGCAGUGGGUACGGGCAGACUAGAGUGCGGUAGGGGAGACUGGAAUUCCUGGUGUAGCGGUGAAAUGCGCAGAUAUCAGGAGGAACACCGGUGGCGAAGGCGGGUCUCUGGGCCGAUACUGACGCUGGAGGUGACGAAAGCGUGGGGAGCAAACAGG